GAUCAUGGCUCAGGAUGAACGCUAGCUACAGGCUUAACACAUGCAAGUCGAGGGGAAACGAUAUUGGAAGCUUGCUUCCGAUAGGCGUCGACCGGCGCACGGGUGAGUAACGCGUAUCCAACCUGCCCAUCACUUGGGAAUAACCUUGCGAAAGUAAGACUAAUGCCCAAUGACAUUUAUAGAAGGCAUCUGAAAUGAAUUAAAGAUUUAUCGGUGAUGGAUGGGGAUGCGUCUGAUUAGCUUGUUGGCGGGGUAACGGCCCACCAAGGCAACGAUCAGUAGGGGUUCUGAGAGGAAGGUCCCCCACAUUGGAACUGAGACACGGUCCAAACUCCUACGGGAGGCAGCAGUGAGGAAUAUUGGUCAAUGGGCGAGAGCCUGAACCAGCCAAGUAGCGUGCAGGACGACGGCCCUAUGGGUUGUAAACCUCUUUUGUUUGGGAAUAAAGUGUGGGACGCGUCCCAUAUUGCAGGUACCGCAUGAAUAAGGACCGGCUAAUUCCGUG
rnacentral:rRNA from 1 species